rnacentral:rRNA from 1 species
CUAAUACCGGAUAAGAUGAUACCUAUAUAAGUAGCAGUCAUUAAAGAUGGGGACCUUCGGGCCUAUCACCAGAAGAUGAGUCCGCGGCCCAUUAGCUAGUUGGUGGGGUAAUGGCCUACCAAGGCUGCGAUGGGUAGCCGGCCUGAGAGGGUGAACGGCCACAUUGGGACUGAGAUACGGCCCAGACUCCUACGGGAGGCAGCAGUUAAGAAUCUUGCGCAAUGGGCGAAAGCCUGACGCAGCGACGCCGCGUGGACGAUGAAGGCCUUCGGGUUGUAAAGUCCAAUAAGUAGGGAAGAAUAAGCAAGAGGUAAUAUUUCUUGUGAUGACGGUACCUACCUAAAGCCCCGGCUAACUACGUGCCAGCAGCCGCGGUAAUACGUAUGGGGCGAGCGUUGUUCGGAAUUAUUGGGCAUAAAGGGCGUCUAGGUGGGGGAUUAAGUUAGGUGUGAAAGCCAUGGGCUCAACCCGUGAAUUGCAUCUAAAACUGAUUCUCUUGAGUUCGGGAGAGGAGAGCGGAAUUCCUGGUGUAGCGGUGAAAUGCGUAGAUAUCAGGAAGAACACCAGUGGCGAAGGCGGCUCUCUGGCCUAUAACUGACGCUAAAGCACGAAAGCGUGGGGAGCGAACGGGAUUAGAUACCCCGGUAGUCCACGCCGUAAACGUUGUAUACUAGGUGUUAGUAACUUGUUUGCUAGUGCCGCAGUUAACGCAUUAAGUAUACCGCCUGGGGAGUACGGCCGCAAGGCUUAAACUCAAAGAAAUUGACGGGGGCCCGAACAAGCGGUGGAGCAUGUGGUUUAAUUCGAUGAUAC